rnacentral:rRNA from 1 species
AUUGAACGCUGGCGGCAGGCCUAACACAUGCAAGUCGAGCGGUAGAGAGAAGCUUGCUUCUCUUGAGAGCGGCGGACGGGUGAGUAAUACCUAGGAAUCUGCCUGGUGGUGGGGGAUAACGUUCGGAAACGGACGCUAAUACCGCAUACGUCCUACGGGAGAAAGCAGGGGACCUUCGGGCCUUGCGCUAUCAGAUGAGCCUAGGUCGGAUUAGCUAGUUGGUGAGGUAAUGGCUCACCAAGGCUACGAUCCGUAACUGGUCUGAGAGGAUGAUCAGUCACACUGGAACUGAGACACGGUCCAGACUCCUACGGGAGGCAGCAGUGGGGAAUAUUGGACAAUGGGCGAAAGCCUGAUCCAGCCAUGCCGCGUGUGUGAAGAAGGUCUUCGGAUUGUAAAGCACUUUAAGUUGGGAGGAAGGGCAGUUACCUAAUACGUGAUUGUCUUGACGUUACCGACAGAAUAAGCACC